rfam:Nicotiana attenuata strain TT chromosome 1, whole genome shotgun sequence.
AUACUUACCUGGACAGGGUCAAUGGGCGAUCAAUAAGACCCAUGGCCUAGGUUGGUGACCUCCAUUGCACUUUGGAGGGGUGCUCGCCUAAGGUCGACCCAAGUGGUCGAGCCUACGUCAUAAUUUGUGGCAGCGGGGGCCUGCGUCCGCGCGGCCCCUAC